rnacentral:rRNA from 1 species
UUCGCAAUGCCCGAAAGGGUGACGAAGCGACGCCGCGUGUGGGAAGAAGGCCUUCGGGUUGUAAACCACUGUCGGGAGUUAAGAAAUGCAAGGAUAUUAAUAGUGUCUUUGUUUGACUAAGGCUCCGGAGGAAGCCACGGCUAACUCUGUGCCAGCAGCCGCGGUAAUACAGAGGCGGCAAGCGUUGUUCGGAAUUAUUGGGCGUAAAGAGCACGUAGGCGGCUAUGUAAGUCGGUUGUGAAAGCCUUCCGCUCAACGGAAGAACAGCAUCCGAUACUACAUGGCUUGAGUGCGGGAGGGGAGAGUGGAACUUCUGGUGGAGCGGUGAAAUGCGUAGAUAUCAGAAGGAACGCCGGCGGCGAAAGCGGCUCUCUGGCCCAUAACUGACGCGGAGUGUGCGAAAGCUAGGGGAGCAAACGGGAUUAGAUACCCCGGUAGUCCUAGCCGUAAACGAUGGGCACUAAGUAGAGGGGUUUUA